UACGAAGGGGGCUAGCGUUGCUCGGAAUCACUGGGCGUAAAGCGCACGUAGGCGGAUUGUUAAGUCAGGGGUGAAAUCCUGGAGCUCAACUCCAGAACUGCCUUUGAUACUGACGAUCUCGAGUCCGGGAGAGGUGAGUGGAACUGCGAGUGUAGAGGUGAAAUUCGUAGAUAUUCGCAAGAACACCAGUGGCGAAGGCGGCUCACUGGCCCGGUACUGCCGCUGAGGUGCGAAAGCGUGGGGAGCAAACAGG
rnacentral:rRNA from 1 species